GUGUUUAUCAUUCGCGCACACGUGCCCCCGUCCAGGACGGUUGCACGCACACACUAUUAUCAUUCAGUCAAUCUCGCUUGCGCGCCCACAGGCGCUCAGUGUAAUACAGCCGCCGCCGCAGCAGCAGCAGUUGGCACGAAAUACAGGGCCAGAGUACGCGUGGUACCGGCGUGUUGUUCAUUAAUGAUCCUUCCGCAGGUUCACCUACGGAAA
rnacentral:misc_RNA from 1 species